GAUGAACGCUGACGGCGUGCCUAAUACAUGCAAGUCGAGCGAACAGACGAGGAGCUUGCUCCUCUGACGUUAGCGGCGGACGGGUGAGUAACACGUGGAUAACCUACCUAUAAGACUGUGAUAACUUCGGGAAACCGGAGCUAAUACCGGAUAAUAUAUUGAACCGCAUGGUUCCAUAUUGAAAGACGGUUUUGCUGUCACUUAUAGAUGGAUCCGCGCCGCAUUAGCUAGUUGGUAAGGUAACGGCUUACCAAGGCAACGAUGCGUAGCCGACCUGAGAGGGUGAUCGGCCACACUGGAACUGAGACACGGUCCAGACUCCUACGGGAGGCAGCAGUAGGGAAUCUUCCGCAAGGGGCGAAAGCCUGACGGAGCAACGCCGCGUGAGUGAUGAAGGUCUUCGGAUCGUAAAACUCUGUUAUUAGGGAAGAACAAAUGUGUAAGUAACUAUGCACGUCUUGACGGUACCUAAUCAGAAAGCCACGGCUAACUACGUG
rnacentral:rRNA from 1 species